UGUCUAGAGCGUACGCGUCCUUGAGCCACGCACCUGCAUGAUGACCGCAUACCGAGAGACUAUUGUUUCAGGUUGACCUUGUCUAGAGGAGCAUUAGUGGAAAAAAACUGUGUAGCCCUGAGACAAUAGGAUGACGUUACGACCAAUGAGAACGGCCUGCAGGGGGCGCAAGGAUUCACUUCUCUCUUGGACACUGACGGGUCUCGACACGCAAAUUCUGCUCCUGGCGUUGGCCGUCAGUGGAAGAGCGUAGCUUCGGUGGGGUUCUGUCUGCCUCUGAUGGGGUGCGGAUGUGUGGUUCGUCACUGGUGAAUGGUGUUCGACGAUGCAGGUGGAUUUUGUGACGAGCGGAUUUACAAUGAGGGAAUGCUGUGAACGGGAAAAAUGAUGGUGGCGGUAGGAGCGCGCAGAGGGCGCUACGAGCGCGCGCAUGCGUAGCACCCGUAGAGUGGCGCUUACGUCAGUCCACCUCCGGCUCUCGUUGGGAGAAGACGUGCGGUCGUUCGCUCCGUCGUCACUUGAUCCCUGGCUGUCGACGAGAGCAGUCGCAUCGGUCUGCGCUCCUACUGUGAGCUGUCCUAACUUGCCCAGACAUGCCAUGAUGACGUCACAGCUGACGUCACAGGAUGUGCGGAACUGGUGCUGCGAUGCUUUGCAACCUGCCUCUGUGCUCCGUCGCCCAGCGACGGUCAGCGGCCGUUCCGGGCCGCUUUCUUCAAGAUGACGUCGUUGAUCUUCAACUAAACUCCUUCUCUCCACUCUAUCUCUAUCUUUUUAUUUUAUUUUCUAUCUAUUUUUUUAUU